UACGGAGGGGGCUAGCGUUGUUCGGAAUUACUGGGCGUAAAGCGCACGUAGGCGGCUUUGUAAGUUAGAGGUGAAAGCCCGGGGCUCAACUCCGGAACUGCCUUUAAAACUGCAUCGCUUGAAUCCAGGAGAGGUGAGUGGAAUUCCGAGUGUAGAGGUGAAAUUCGUAGAUAUUCGGAAGAACACCAGUGGCGAAGGCGGCUCACUGGACUGGUAUUGACGCUGAGGUGCGAAAGCGUGGGGAGCAAACAGG
rnacentral:rRNA from 1 species